rnacentral:lncRNA from 1 species
AGUCACAGUGACCAAAGUCCAGCACACAUCGUGUGGUUUAUAACUACUGUUCCCUAGGAUAGCCACCUCUUUCUGGAGUCUUGAGAGGGGUAAGAAUAUAACCUUUCUUACCUUUAGUCAUUUUAAGUAAUGCUUUAGUCAGCUCAGCCCAGACUGGGCUGUUAAUAUCCUUCCAGGAAGGGACAAAAAUGAUACCAUACACAAUAAGAAAUCCCAGCCUGCCAGCUGCAGAGGCAUGCUAGCUGCUUACGAAGGCAUCUAUCUCCCCAACUGCAUAUGCUUAGGAGGCUGUCAUUGGCCUGCCAUCUCUGGCUUAUGGUCCCAUUUAUUUGCCAUAGUAAUUCCCAGGGAUUAGGAAAGAGUACCCCAAAUCAUGGUCCCAGCCAGAGGUACCUCCACUCUCUAUAAUCUGUUGCAGGGUGUUGGGUAGCACACCCAUGGUCCAGAGGGAUGCACUUCUUUCAUUUUCCUAUUCAGGCCCACAGGUCUUACAAAGUGCAGUGCCUGUCUAGGGGGGACCUGGAAGGUGGGCUGACAUUCUUUUGGCAGAUCAACACCUCUGACCUCUAAUGUCAGUUCCAAUGGCAUGAGUUUACUCAAAUACUAAUACUCCUUGAUCAGAAUAAGGAGACACAUGAGGAGACCACACACAUACACAACACAUAGAUCACAAUACAACACAGAGCAAUGCCAUGAAAAACUGACGCUGAGAUAUUCCAAAUUUUGAGUGCUAACCAUUUAAGGCCAUCUAAGAUCACUUUUGCCAACUGAUUGUCCUAUUGACUGGAUAAACCUCAUUUCCUAAUUUAUUUUCUAAUUAAUUCCAAUAUAGAGUGGGAAGAUAUUUGAUGAGACAAUGACCAUAGAUUUGUAAAGCUAUAGAAAUACUUUAACAAGUUUACAAAUCUGAACAGAGCUAUAAAUAAAUAUAGAAAACCACAACAUCUAGGCAUAUCACAGCUAAUUUCUGAAAAACAAACAAACAAACAAACAAAAAAAACAAAAAACAUUUCUAGGUAUGGCUGAAGGAGGAAGUAUGACAUGUUGCUCUCAUGGAAGUGAAUAUAAAAUAAGGCUACUAGUUGAGAUCCUACAUUAGUUUCCUAGGAGAUCUGGACAAAUUACCACAAACUCGUCUAAAACAACAUUUAUUCUCUCACAGUUCAGGAGGCAAGGGACCCAAAAUCUAGCUGUCAAGGGGCACACUUCAUCUGAACAUUCCAAGGGAGAAUCCUUCCUUGUCUCUUCUGGCUUCUGAUGGCUCCUAGAAUUCCUUGGCUUGUGGCAGCAUCACUCCAAUAUCUGCCUCCAUCUUCUCAUGGCCUUUUUCUCUCUUUUCCUGCUUGUCCUUUCCUCC